rnacentral:rRNA from 1 species
GACGAACGCUGGCGGCGUGCUUAACACAUGCAAGUCGAACGGAAAGGCCCUGCUUUUGUGGGGUGCUCGAGUGGCGAACGGGUGAGUAACACGUGAGUAACCUGCCCUUGACUUUGGGAUAACUUCAGGAAACUGGGGCUAAUACCGGAUAGGAGCUCCUGCUGCAUGGUGGUGGUUGGAAAGUUUCGGCGGUUGGGGAUGGACUCGCGGCUUAUCAGCUUGUUGGUGGGGUAGAGGCUUACCAAGGCUUUGACGGGUAGCCGGCCUGAGAGGGUGACCGGCCACAUUGGGACUGAGAUACGGCCCAGACUCCUACGGGAGGCAGCAGUGGGGAAUAUUGCACAAUGGGCGGAAGCCUGAUGCAGCAACGCCGCGUGCGGGAUGACGGCCUUCGGGUUGUAAACCGCUUUCGCCUGUGACGAAGCGUGAGUGACGGUAAUGGGUAAAGAAGCACCGGCUAACUACGUG